UUUAUUAUGUUUUUGGUGAUUUAGUGUUUUUUUUUUUUCAAAUUAUGAUUUUAUAUUACAUAUAAAUUAUACACACAGGUUAUUGGAUACAAAAAGACAGACACUUCAUACUUCAUCAAGCUUCAUGUAUAUGGAGGUGUAAAAGGGUGGGUACGAGAAAAGUUAUUCAUUUGGAGAUAGACAUUUAUUUGGCCUAUUGGCAAUAUAGAUGCAGAGGAAAUAUUUGAGGAGGUAUUGUUUGACAGGAUUGGGCAGCAAACUUUAAGGGCUCGGAUGUUUUCAACCCGCGCAAAAGAUUUAAAUUGAUUGCGUUUAUCUAUACUAUCGUAUAAAGCAUUUCACAAGGGUUCCAACCAAAUUUAAAUAAUUGCAACAUAUUAUGCUUAUAGUACAACAACUCAAUGAAGUUAGUAAAGGGAA